rnacentral:rRNA from 1 species
AGUGAACGCUGGCGGUAGGCCUAACACAUGCAAGUCGAACGGCAGCACAGUAAGAGCUUGCUCUUACGGGUGGCGAGUGGCGGACGGGUGAGGAAUACAUCGGAAUCUACUUUUUCGUGGGGGAUAACGUAGGGAAACUUACGCUAAUACCGCAUACGACCUACGGGUGAAAGCAGGGGAUCUUCGGACCUUGCGCGAUUGAAUGAGCCGAUGUCGAAUUAGCUAGUUGGCGGGGUAAAGGCCCACCAAGGCGACGAUCCGUAGCUGGUCUGAGAGGAUGAUCGGCCACACUGGAACUGAGACACGGUCCAGACUCCUACGGGAGGCAGCAGUGGGGAAUAUUGGACAAUGGGCGCAAGCCUGAUCCAGCCAUACCGCGUGGGUGAAGAAGGCCUUCGGGUUGUAAAGCCCUUUUGUUGGGAAAGAAAAGCAGCAGGUUAAUACCCCGCUGUUCUGACGGUACCCAAAGAAUAAGCACCGGCUAACUUCGUG